GAACUGAAUGACUAAUGAUACUGAGCAUCUUUUCAUGUGCCCAUUAGCUAUUUGUACAUUUUACUGUUUAUUUAAGUCAUUCGUCCAUUUUCAUUGGGUUGCCUUUUUUUGGUUGAGUUAAAUAUUUCUUCACAUUUUUGGGGAAAAACAGAUGUGCAGGAGGAUGUGGAGAAGUUGGCAUCUUCAUACAUUGUGUUGGGAAUGAAAAAUGGUGCUGCCUCUGCGGAAAAUAUUUUAACAGUUUCUCAAAAAAGUUAAGCAUAAGGUUAUAUAAACUAGCAAUUCUACUCUUAGCUACAUAUCCAAGAGGAUCAAAAACAAAUUAACACAGAAAACGAACAUUCAUAGCAGCAUUAUUCACAAUAACUCACUCAAUGCCGCAUAAUGGAUUAAUGGAUAAAGUAAUUGUUAUGUUCAUUCAAUGGAAUAUUAUUCAGCAAUAAAAAGAAUAAAGUACUGAUUCAUGUUACAAAAUGUAUGAACUUUGAAAGCAUUAUGCUAAGUGAGAGAAGCCAGACAAAACAGGCCACAUAUUAUAUACUUCUAUUCAUAUUAAAUACCAGAAUAGGCAAAUACACGAAGAAAGUAGACUGUGUAUUUGCCUGUUGAACUUCCCCAGUGGCUCAGCUGGUAAAGAAUCUGCCUGCAAUGCAGACUUGGGUUUGAUCCCUGGGUUGCGAAGGUCCCCUGGAGAAAGAACAGCUACCUACUCCCAGUAUUCGGGCCUGGAGAAAUCCAUGGACUAUGUAGUCCAUGAGGUUGCAAAGAGUUGGACAUGACUGAAUGACUUUCAAUUCACUUCAUUCAUAUGAAAUAGCCAGAAUAGCCAAAUACACAAAGAAAGUAGAUUAUUGGUGGUGAGAAAAUGGAGGAAAUUAGGAGUGACUGCUAACAGGUACAAGAUAUUUUGGGGGGCGGUGAUGAAAAUGUUCAGAAAUUAGCUGGCAGUAAUGAUUGUACAAUGUUAUAUCAAACCCACUGAAUUAUACAUUUUAAAAUAGUGUCUUUUAUGUUCCAUGAAUUAUAUUUCAAUAAGAAAUGAACUACAGUCAUAAAAGCAGAGAUUGGUACCUAACUGGCAUCUAAUUGAUCCAUUUACAGAUUUAACAAUACAAUUUGAGACUUGAAAGUAAACUUAGCACAUCUCUGAGAGACUGAAACACCAGAAGCACAGCUCCUGACUAGUUUAGAUUCUGCAGAGAUAUUCCUGUUAUAGCCAGUUACUGAAUGUAGACAUGAGUUCUAAGGAAAGGACUUCAUUGCUGACAAUACUAAUCAGGAAUUCAGGUAUAAUACUGCCAAAGGAAAAGAAAAAAAAAUUAAAAAACACUCCAGCAAAGCAGCCACUGUUUCACUUGCUGAGAAGAGAAUCAGUUCAGUUCAGUUCAGUCGCUCAGUUGUGUCCGACUCUUUGCGACCGCAUGAAUCGCAGCACGCCAGGCCUUCCUGUCCAUCACCAACUCCCGGAGUUCACCCAGACUCACGUCCAUCGUGUCAGUUAAACUGUGCAUUUUCUAGAUUGACUCUUGAGACUGGGGUUGGAAAAGAACGUGCCUGUAUGAAUGGCUGUGGGUGGAGGACAGUUCAACUUCUCCUGUUUUUGUCAACAGCGGGUGUAUACCAAACUCCCGUGA
ensembl:lncRNA